rnacentral:rRNA from 1 species
UUGAUCCCUGGCUCAGGACGAACGCUGGCGGCGUGCCUAAUACAUGCAAGUCGAGCGGAGUUGAUGAGGUGCUUGCACCUCUGAUACUUAGCGGCGGACGGGUGAGUAACACGUGGGUAACCUGCCUAUAAGACUGGGAUAACAUUCGGAAACGAAUGCUAAUACCGGAUACGCGAUUUGGUCGCAUGAUCGAAUCGGGAAAGAUGGAGCAAUCUAUCACUUAUAGAUGGACCCGCGGCGCAUUAGCUAGUUGGUGAGGUAACGGCUCACCAAGGCGACGAUGCGUAGCCGACCUGAGAGGGUGAUCGGCCACACUGGGACUGAGACACGGCCCAGACUCCUACGGGAGGCAGCAGUAGGGAAUCUUCCGCAAUGGACGAAAGUCUGACGGAGCAACGCCGCGUGAGUGAUGAAGGUUUUCGGAUCGUAAAGCUCUGUUGCCAGGGAAGAAUGCUUGGGAGAGUAACUGCUCCCAAGGUGACGGUACCUGAGAAGAAAGCCCCGGCUA